rnacentral:rRNA from 1 species
AGAACGAACGCUGGCGGCAGGCCUCAAACAUGCAAGUCUAGGGGGUGUAGCAAUACAUCACCGGCGGACGGGUGCGUAACACGUGGGAAUAUACCUUUUGGUUCGGAACAACGCAGGGAAACUUGCGCUAAUACCGAAUGUGCCCCUACGGGGAAAGAUUUAUCGCCAAAGGAUUAGCCCGCGUAGGAUUAGCUAGUUGGUGAGGUAAUGGCUCACCAAGGCUCCGAUCCUUAGCUGUUCUGAGAGGAAGAUCAGCCACACUGGGACUGAGACACGGCCCAGACUCCUACGGGAGGCAGCAGUUGGGAAUCUGGACAAUGGGGGAAACCCUGAUCCAGCCAUGCCGCGUGAGUGAUGAAGGCCUUCGGGUUGUAAAACUCUUUCGGACGGGACGAUAAUGACGGUACCCGUAGAAGAAGCUCCGGCUAACUUCGUGCCAGCAGCCGC